rnacentral:rRNA from 1 species
GAGUAAUGUCUGGGAAACUGCCUGAUGGAGGGGGAUAACUACUGGAAACGGUAGCUAAUACCGCAUAACGUCGCAAGACCAAAGAGGGGGACCUUCGGGCCUCUUGCCAUCGGAUGUGCCCAGAUGGGAUUAGCUAGUAGGUGGGGUAAAGGCUCACCUAGGCGACGAUCCCUAGCUGGUCUGAGAGGAUGACCAGCCACACUGGAACUGAGACACGGUCCAGACUCCUACGGGAGGCAGCAGUGGGGAAUAUUGCACAAUGGGCGCAAGCCUGAUGCAGCCAUGCCGCGUGUAUGAAGAAGGCCUUCGGGUUGUAAAGUACUUUCAGCGGGGAGGAAGGGAGUAAAGUUAAUACCUUUGCUCAUUGACGUUACCCGCAGAAGAAGCACCGGCUAACUCCGUGCCAGCAGCCGCGGUAAUACGGAGGGUGCAAGCGUUAAUCGGAAUUACUGGGCGUAAAGCGCACGCAGGCGGUUUGUUAAGUCAGAUGUGAAAUCCCCGGGCUCAACCUGGGAACUGCAUCUGAUACUGGCAAGCUUGAGUCUCG